rnacentral:rRNA from 1 species
UACGUAGGGGUGCGAGCGUUUGUCCGGAAUUACUGGGCGUAAAGAGCUCGUAGGUGGUUUGUCGCGUUGUCCGUGAAAACUCACAGCUUAACUGUGGGCGUGCGGGCGAUACGGGCAGACUGGAGUACUGCAGGGGAGACUGGAAGUUCCUGGUGUAGCGGUGGAAUGCGCAGAUAUCAGGAGGAACACCGGUGGCGAAGGCGGGUCUCUGGGCAGUAACUGACGCUGGAGGAGCGAAAGCGUGGGGAGCGAACAGG